AAAGAAUCGCCUCCCUUCGCCUUUGUUUGGUUGGGGGUUAAGGGGUGGAAUAACCACUUAACCCCUAUAUUAUCCCCAAACACCUUAAAAAAUAGGUGGGAUUAGCUAACCCCAUCUCAAAUGGGCUAUCCCGGGUUAGCUAACCCCACCUAACCCUAUCAAACCCCAACCAAAUAUUAUUUUCUAUUUAUAAUAACCCACUGCCCUUCUUAUCCCACCUACUCCAAUCACACACUAUUUUUCACUAUUCUGAACUAAUUCUAACCUCUAACCAAACACAAAAAUACUCUAAUCUUACUUAAACCCCGAACUUAAUCCUAUCCCUAAAAUAAUUAGUUUUUUCUUUAACCCUGAAUCAAAC
rnacentral:lncRNA from 1 species